GAAGAUUCGAUUGGGGAAGAGAAGAAGAGAAAGAAAUAGCUACAUAUAUUCUCAAGAACGGAAGACGGUUGAAGAAGGCAACUUUCUCGACAAAUCCCAUUG
rnacentral:sRNA from 1 species